AUCUAGUUAACAGCCCAUUUAUUAAGGACAAAAUAUUCUUUUCUACUCUGGACACAAGGCCCGAAAUGUUUGGGGAGAGGGCCUGUUGAUUAGAUGAACCCCAGUAUGCAACUGGUACUUAAUUUAUCGACCCUGAAAGGAUGAAAGGCAAAAGUUGACCUUGGCAGAAUUUGAACUCAAAACAUAAAGACAGACA